UACGAAGGGGGCUAGCGUUGCUCGGAAUCACUGGGCGUAAAGCGCACGUAGGCGGAUCUUUAAGUCAGGGGUGAAAUCCUGGAGCUCAACUCCAGAACUGCCUUUGAUACUGAGGGUCUCGAGUCCGGGAGAGGUGAGUGGAACUGCGAGUGUAGAGGUGAAAUUCGUAGAUAUUCGCAAGAACACCAGUGGCGAAGGCGGCUCACUGGGCCGUAACUGACGCUGAGGAGCGAGAGCAUGGGGAGCGAACAGG
rnacentral:rRNA from 1 species